rnacentral:rRNA from 1 species
UACAGAGGGUGCGAGCGUUGUCCGGAAUCACUGGGCGUAAAGGGCGCGUAGGCGGCUUGAUAAGCGUGCGGUGAAAGCCCGGGGCUCAACCCCGGGUCGGCCGUGCGAACUGUCGAGCUGGAGCACUGUAGAGGCAGGUGGAAUUCCGGGUGUAGCGGUGGAAUGCGUAGAGAUCCGGAAGAACACCGGUGGCGAAGGCGGCCUGCUGGGCAGUGGCUGACGCUGAGGCACGAAAGCGUGGGGAGCAAACAGG